rnacentral:rRNA from 1 species
CUGGCGGCGUGCCUAACACAUGCAAGUCGAACGGACGAGGGGAGGCUUGCUCCCCAAGUUAGUGGCGGACGGGUGAGUAACACGUGAGCAACCUGCCCUUCGAGGGGGACAACAGCUGGAAACGGCUGCUAAUACCGCAUGAUGUAUCCUGGAGGCAUCUCCGGGAUACCAAAGAUUUAUCGCCGAAGGAUGGGCUCGCGUCUGAUUAGAUAGUUGGUGGGGUAACGGCCUACCAAGUCGACGAUCAGUAGCCGGACUGAGAGGUUGAACGGCCACAUUGGGACUGAGAUACGGCCCAGACUCCUACGGGAGGCAGCAGUGGGGAAUAUUGGGCAAUGGGGGGCAACCCUGACCCAGCAACGCCGCGUGAAGGAAGAAGACUUUCGGGUUGUAAACUUCUUUGACGAGGGACGAUAGUGACGGUACCUCGAAAACAAGCCACGGCUAACUACGUGCCAGCCGCCGC